CUGCUAGCCAUAGUUUUCUGCUUAAUAACAGUCUCCAUUAUUACAAACAGCUGUGACAAACUAGUUGAAGUAACUUUAAUUUGUAAAAUUUUGGGAAGUAAAUCAUUCCAGUAAAAAUUUAAGGUGAAUAUGGACAGAAUUUGUUGGUCGGGUGUACAAAUAACUUAGUUUGUAUUAUCAAGGAACAGAUUGCUAAACAGUUUGCAGGUGGUAACUUUAGAAUUUAAAAUGUAUUGUUAUGUAUUCAGUAUGUAAAUGAAAUUUCUUAACAUUCAUAAAUUGUCACAACAUGAUAUUAUAUAAUCAUAUAUACAUUAAUCAGAGUAUUCUUGUUAUUUUAUCAUUCUUUAGUCCUGAGACUCUGAAGAAGAGCAAAGGAUUACCUAGAUAUAAAGCAUUUGUGUGCUAAGCUGUUUUUAAAAUGUUAAUCUUAGAUUGGCAAUUGUAGCCCUAAUAAGAGUUCUUAAGUUCAUGUCUGUCAGCUGAAACAGCAAGAAGUAAGGAUGUAGAAGACUAACUGCAACUCCAGCCUGCGGCA